UUCCUAUCUUGCAAGAAUAUUUUGCGUUCCAAUGCCAGACGUGUAUGAAUCUCCUGUUGUUUCUGAAGUCCUUCUAACUUCUUUUCUUGCGCCUCUCUGACUUCUGGAGGAAGUUCCUUGCGGAGCAUACGCUCGAUAGAGCGAAUCUGGUUCUUAAGAGACACAGACUUGGGCUUUGACUUCUUCUCUACGCCUAUUCCCUUGGAUCGCCGCCCCACGUGAGGCUUCCGUUC
rnacentral:misc_RNA from 1 species